rnacentral:rRNA from 1 species
UACGUAGGGUGCGAGCGUUGUUCGGAAUUACUGGGCGUAAAGCGCGUGUAGGCGGCGCGUUAAGUCUGGUGUGAAAGCCCUGAGCUCAACUCAGGAAUGGCGCCGGAAACUGACGUGCUCGAGUCCGGGAGAGGGUCGUGGAAUUCCUGGUGUAGAGGUGAAAUUCGUAGAUAUCAGGAGGAACACCGGUGGCGAAGGCGGCGACCUGGACCGGUACUGACGCUGAGACGCGAAAGCGUGGGGAGCAAACAGG